rnacentral:lncRNA from 10 species
GAACUUCAACUAGGACAAGGGCAAUGGGAAUGGAGAGAUGGGGAUGGACAGAAUGCAUGCUGUAAUGUAGCCUCAGGAUAAAGAAGUUGAAUGAGUUUGGCAUGCAGCAAUGAAGAGGAAGAAGUAAAAGGUGAACCCAACGGUACAAGCCUGGGCAACUACAAGAAUGGUGAUCCCAUCACAGAAACCAGAAAUGCGGGAGGAGUGGGUUUUGGAGUUGAGACAAUGAAAAGAAAUGUUAUAGAUACUAUAGAUAGACUAUUACUAAUAUUUUAGAUAAGUUAAACAAACAAAAAAAGUUCAGUGAAGUUUUGAACACAAAAUCCUGAAGACAAGAGGUUUCAAAUGUUGUAGUGAGUUGUGAAGGAUAAGUUAGAAGGAAAUGCCUACCUAGCCACACUGGAAAGGAAGUUUGGUUUCCAAAUCAUCUCAAUCCAUCGGCUCAAGCAGAUGAGGAAGCUGAGACCUGGGUCACAUGCCUGAAGGCUUUCUGAAUCUAAGUGGACCCCAUUUCAGCUCAACUUAAGGACCUCAAUCCUCUGCUGCUUACAAUUGUCCCUUUGCUCCUUGCCGUGCUCUCCUGUUGUUGAUAUUUUCAUUUCAGCCAUUCAAAUUGAAUAUUUAGAAGAAGGAGCACAAGAAAGAGGACACCCUUAACAGAAAAGUUAUUCAUUUCCAAUUUAAGACUCAUCAAGGGAUAAAAUCUG